UGGCGAACGGGUGAGUAACACGUGGGCAAUCUGCCCUGCACUCUGGGACAAGCCCUGGAAACGGGGUCUAAUACCGGAUAUUGACCUUCACGGGCAUCUGUGAGGUUCGAAAGCUCCGGCGGUGCAGGAUGAGCCCGCGGCCUAUCAGCUUGUUGGUGAGGUAAUGGCUCACCAAGGCGACGACGGGUAGCCGGCCUGAGAGGGCGACCGGCCACACUGGGACUGAGACACGGCCCAGACUCCUACGGGAGGCAGCAGUGGGGAAUAUUGCACAAUGGGCGAAAGCCUGAUGCAGCGACGCCGCGUGAGGGAUGACGGCCUUCGGGUUGUAAACCUCUUUCAGCAGGGAAGAAGCGAAAGUGACGGUACCUGCAGAAGAAGCGCCGGCUAACUACGUGCCAGCAGCCGCGGUAAUACGUAGGGCGCAAGCGUUGUCCGGAAUUAUUGGGCGUAAAGAGCUCGUAGGCGGCUUGUCACGUCGGUUGUGAAAGCCCGGGGCUUAACCCCGGGUCUGCAGUCGAUACGGGCAGGCUAGAGUUCGGUAGGGGAGAUCGGAAUUCCUGGUGUAGCGGUGAAAUGCGCAGAUAUCAGGAGGAACACCGGUGGCGAAGGCGGAUCUCUGGGCCGAUACUGACGCUGAGGAGCGAAAGCGUGGGGAGCGAACAGGAUUAGAUACCCUGGUAGUCCACGCCGUAAACGGUGGGCACUAGGUGUGGGCAACAUUCCACGUUGUCCGUGCCGCAGCUAACGCAUUAAGUGCCCCGCCUGGGGAGUACGGCCGCAAGGCUAAAACUCAAAGGAAUUGACGGGGGGCCCGCACAAGCGGCGGAGCAUGUGGCUUAAUUCGACGCAACGCGAAGAACCCUUACCAAGGCUUGACAUACACCGGAACGGCCAGAGAUGGUCG
rnacentral:rRNA from 1 species